rnacentral:rRNA from 1 species
UACAGAGACUGCAAGCGUUAUUCGGAUUCACUGGGCGUAAAGGGCGCGUAGGCGGCGUGGUAAGUCACUUGUGAAAUCUCUGAGCUUAACUCAGAACAGUCAAGUGAAACUGCUGUGCUAGAGUGCGGAAGGGGCAAUCGGAAUUCUUGGUGUAGCGGUGAAAUGCGUAGAUAUCAAGAGGAACACCUGAGGUGAAGACGGGUUGCUGGGCCGACACUGACGCUGAUGCGCGAAAGCCAGGGGAGCAAACGGG